UUAAGUUCAGCGGGUAAUCCUACCUGAUUUGAGGUCAAAUGGUUCAAAUUGUCCAGUAUUCCUAGACUGUUCGAAGGCAGCUACACUUAACAUCCCCACCUACAAGGCGUAGAUAAUUAUCACACCAAAGUGGGGAACAGUAACCACUAAUGCUUUUAAGAGAAGCAAACUACGAGAGCCUGCAAUCUCCACAUCCAAAA
rnacentral:misc_RNA from 1 species